rnacentral:snoRNA from 1 species
CUAUGAUGAGACGGAACCUGAUCAGCUGGAGUUACCGGCAGGUGGUCCGUGGUGACCAGGUGUUGUUCUGAUU